rnacentral:rRNA from 1 species
GACGAACGCUGGCGGCGUGCUUAACACAUGCAAGUCGAACGGAAAGGCCCUGCUUUUGUGGGGUGCUCGAGUGGCGAACGGGUGAGUAACACGUGAGUAACCUGCCCUUGACUUUGGGAUAACUUCAGGAAACUGGGGCUAAUACCGGAUAGGAGCUCCUGCUGCAUGGUGGGGGUUGGAAAGUUUCGGCGGUUGGGGAUGGACUCGCGGCUUAUCAGCUUGUUGGUGGGGUAGUGGCUUACCAAGGCUUUGACGGGUAGCCGGCCUGAGAGGGUGACCGGCCACAUUGGUACUGAGAGACGGCCCAGAGUCCUACGGGAGGCAGAAGUGGGGAAUAUUGCACAAUGGGCGGAAGCCUGAUGCAGCAACGCCGCGUGCGGGAUGACGGCCUUCGGGUUGUAAACCGCUUUCGCCUGUGACGAAGCGUGAGUGACGGUAAUGGGUAAAGAAGCACCGGCUAACUACGUG